AUACUUACCUGUUGCCGGGGCCUCGUUGAUCACGGAGGAUGAGCCCCCAGGGUGAUGCGCGGGCAUUGCACUGCGCUCGCGUUGACCCGUGCACUACCCCAAACUGGGGCAGAUGGGGCAUGUAAAUUACUUUAAUCCGGUUCAACGCAAGAGAGGGCGCCCCCGCC
rnacentral:snRNA from 1 species